rnacentral:rRNA from 1 species
UACGGGGGGGGCAAGCGUUGUUCGGAAUUACUGGGCGUAAAGGGCGCGUAGGCGGUUUGCUAAGUUGAAUGUGAAAACUCUGGGCUUAACCCAGAGCCUGCAUUCAAUACUGGCAGGCUGGAGUUCUGGAGGGGAUAGCGGAAUUCCUGGUGUAGCGGUGAAAUGCGUAGAUAUCAGGAGGAACACCGGUGGCGAAGGCGGCUAUCUGGACAGAAACUGACGCUGAGGCGCGAAAGCCUAGGGGAGCAAACAGG